AUGUCAAAUUCAAGAAGUAAUAUAGAAACAUCUGAUACAUCAACCACAACAGCAGAUCAAAUCACAACAGCUGCUUGGACAACAAGUUUUGAUGCCACAUCCACCUCACCUGUAUUCUCAACUGUUGAGUCAACCUCUACACAUAUUGAAGAAAACGUUACUUUAUCACCUGAUACAUCAACCACAGAUGCAGCUCAAACCACAACAACGGCUGGGUCAACAACAAAAACCUAUGAUGGCACAAUUGUAUCCUCAAAUGCUGAAUCAACAUCAACAGAUCCAGUCACAGUAACUGCAGUAACUUAUACAGAAAAAAACACAGCUCAAUCCAUAACAACUGCUGGAUCAGCAACAGUAACUUUUGAUUCCAGAUCCACCUCAUUAGUAUCCUCAACUGUGGAGUCAACCUCAACAAAUAAUAGAGAAACAACGACUACAGCACUUGAUUUAGCAACAAGAGCAAUGCCUGAACUCAUAACAGCUGCUGGGGCAACCACAUCUUUUAAUGCCACUUCUUCCUCACCCAUUUUCUCAUCUGUUCAGCCAGUCCUUACAAGUGAUGUAAAAACAAUGACUUUGGCACCUGAUACAUCAACAACAACUACAGCUCAAUUCACAACAGCUGCCAGGGCAUCAAAAGCAACAACCUUUGGUGCCACAUACACAUCAUUAGUAUCCUCAACUGUGGAGACAACUUCAACAAGUAAUACAGAAACUGUUUUUUUGGCACCAGACACAACUAUAGCUCAAUUAACAACAGCUGCUGGGUCAGUAACAAAAACAGCUUCUGCUACCACAUCCACCUCAUGGGUGUCCUCAACUGUGGAGUCAACUUCAGCAAAUACCUCAGAAACAAUGACUACAGCACCUGAUACAGCAACUGGAACUGUGUCCGAAUCCACAACAGCCACUGGGGUAACAACAACAUCUUAUGAUGUCACAUCCACCUCACCAGUUUUCUCAACUUUAGGAUCUCAAUCAAAAAUAAAUGCAGACACAAUGUCUUUAGGACCUGAUACACAAACCACAACUACAACUCAAUCCUCAACAUCUUCUGGAGCAGCAGCAGUAACAACCUUUGAUGUCAAUUCCACAUCAAUGUUAUCCUCUACUGUGGUGUCAAAUUCAACAAGUACGAUAGAAACAUCUGAUACAACAACCACAGCUGCAGAUCAAACCACAACAGCUGCUGGGACAACACGUUUUGAUGCCACAUCCACCUCAGCAAAAUUCACAACUGUUAAGUCAAACUCUACAAGUACUGUGGAAACUGUUUCUUUAACACCUAAUAACACCACAGCUGCAGCUCAAACCACAGCAACUGUUGGGGCAACACCAAAAACCUUUGAUGGUACAUCCACCUCAUCACUUUCCUCAAUUGUAGAAUUGACCUCAACAACUGAGACAGACACUGUAACUACAGCACCUGAUACAGAAACAACUACAGCCCAUGCCACAACAACUUCUGGGGCAGCAACAAUAAAUUUUGACUUCACUUCCACCUCAUCGGUAUCAUCAACUAUGGAGUCAACCUCAACAAGUACAGCAGAAACAAUGACUACAACACUUGAUUUAGCAACAAGAGCUAUGCCUGAAACCAUAACAGCUGCUGAGACAACAAUGCCUUCUGAUGCCACGUCCACCUCAUCUGUAUCUUCAUCUGUGGGGUCAACCUCAACAAGUAAUUCAGAAACAAUGACUUCUGCUUAUGCCUUUCCAACCACAAGUAACAAAACAGCUGCUGGAGUAGCAUUAACCUAUAAUACCCUAUCCACCUCAUCAGUGUCCUCAAUUGUGGAUUCAACUUCAAUAACUAAUGCAGACACAACAACUACAGCACUUGAUACAACAAAUACAACUAUGACUGAAACCACAACAACAGCGGAGGCAACAACAUUACGUAAUGGGGAUGUUAGCAUAGCAGUUGCUCCAGUAACAACUGCUGAUGCAACAUCACAAAGUUUAAAUGCACCAACCACAACUUUUCCUGAAACAAAGUUUGAUGCAACCACAAAAAAUUUAGAGGCAGCAGCCACUUCUCCAAAAUUCUCAAAUAUGGAAUGGACUUCAGCAACUUAUCCAGUCAACACAACUAUGGUUGAAACAAUACUAGACCUUUCAAAAACAACCACCAGUGCAACAACAACUAUUUUUGAUGCACAAACCACCUCUUUACCACUACCAACUGUUGCACAAACAUUAGCUCAUGUAACAACCACAACUCUGCCGGCCAACACAGCUUUUGCUGCAACCACAACAAAUACGGACAUUUCAACUUUUCCAAAAAUCUCAACUGCUGCACCAAAAACAACAUCUGAUGAAGCAUCCACAACUACAAUUGAGCCUUUUUUAACUAAUCAUACAACACUGGCACAUUUGGCAGCCACACCCACCUAUACAGCAUCCUCAACUUCAGAAACAACAUCUACAAUUGAUGCACCAACCACCACUAUGUCUGAACCAGUAACAAAUAUUAGUGUAACAGCAGGUUUGGAUACCACAACAACAUUUUCAGCACCCUCAGGUAUAGCAUCAAAGUUAACAGAUGCUGCAACUGUUCUUGUGAACACAACAACAACUUUAGAUGCCGCAGCUACUAUUUCACCAUCCUCAAAUGCAACUGAAAUGUCAGCAACUCAUCCUGCAACCAUAGCAAUACCAGUAAACACAACUAAUGAUGAUACAUCAACAGCUUUGGAUGAUACAACCACUCAAAUAUCCUCAACAGAAGCACCAAUUUCAACUACAGAUGAAGCAACCACAGUUACAACUGAAACCACAACUUAUAUUGGUGGAACAACAAUAACUUUGAAUGCCACAAUUAAUCCAUCUGUAUUUUCGACAACCAUUAGUGCAACAACUUUGGCUGAAGAAAGCAACCUUCCAUCAGCUUUAAAUGAAACAGAGAUGUCGACAACUAAUGCAUCAAUUACAACUGUGCCUGAAACUACAACAAACCUUCAAACAACAACUUCAGAUAAAGGAUUAUCCAAUUUUGCUGUAACAACAAGACCUGAAACAUCCUCAUUUCCAACAACUAAUUCUAAAAUCACUACAGAAAUUGGUUUCACAACAACACCUUCAACCACACUUAAAUCUUCAUCAACGAUUGCUCCACAAUCAACAACAGAUGUGGCAACAACUUCAGUCCAACCAACAACAUCUGGUCUUAAAUUAAAUACAAAUUCUCCAACCUCCUCACCAUUAACACCAAUGUUGGCAACUGAAUCAGCAACCACAACUAUGUCUGAAACCACAUCAGCUAUUAGUGUGGCAACCGAAACUUUGGAUACUAACAAUACAUUGGCUACAAAUCCACCAACAACUACUAUUUUGGCUGAAACCAUUUUACCUCCUACAACUACUGCCACAACGACAACUCCAGUUCCAGUAACUCAAAAUCCCAUAGAAGCACCAACUGUGAUUGGGACAGUGAUCAUUUACAUCCAGCUCAUAUUCGUCACACUGGGCCCCAUACCAAGCGAGAAUACAAUAAUGCAGUUGGUUAACUCUAUGCUGGACUCACGUUUCAGAAUCAAACGAGAUGUAGGAGCACAAAGCCUGAACACCCCUGUGAGCAUUGUGAAUGUUACUUAUACAAAAAUUUCUGACAAAUCAUAUGCCCUGAAUUUUGGAUUUGGAAUCGCCAAUGUUUCCAUGUCUGAGAAAAUUGAACUCAGGAAUGAAACAUACAAGUUAAUCCAGGAGUCUGUAAAUAAACUGCUGAACCAAAUCCUAAAUAACCCCACAGCCACUCCAUUUGUGUUCAAAAAUGUCAAUUUCACGGGUAAUUCCACCUCUAUCCAGGCAAGUGUGUACUAUGUAUUCUCAGAAAGUGACAUCACACAACCCAACGCCUUUAUUAGUGCCCUUCUUGUGGUUAACAAAGAUGCAGUUACCACACCUCCACCAACAACCACCACCUAUUACUCCAUAGUGCUGAACACUACAGUCCCAAGCAACAGCACAAAUGCAGCAUGGGUUGUGGCCAUAAUUGUACCCUGUGCAAUCGUUAUCAUCCUCGUACCUUGCUGGAUUCUACUGUGUUGUUUGCUCUGUGGUUGCUGCACAUCAAUAAGACGACGAUGGCGCAGAAGAAGAGGCUCAUACAAUCUGCAACACACAGCCCAAACCAGCUUCUUAUAGACAACUGGAGAACAAUUUCAAGAAGAGGAAUACAUCAUGACAAAAUUAAUUACACUGAUCACUUCUGUUUUUUUCUAUAAUGAAUACGCUAUCUUUUUAAUUGUAAAAUGCACUAUUUAUUUAUUGUAUCAAUUUUGCUGUACAGACGUGCUCCUAAAUUUUCAUAAAUGUAAUUUAUUUUCAGAAUUGUAUUACCCAGUAAUUAAAUGUAUUUAAUAAGAGUGUGAGGUUCAACCUCUGUAAAUUUUAGAACCAUUACUCCCUAAUUAAUUUAUUUGACAUUACUCAUUUCAUUUCAUGGGGCUAUAUUGAUUGUGUUUAACUUAUUUACAAUUAGAUUAACUUUAUUUUUGUGUAACUCAAAAAAGUCAUUGUGUGCUUAUAAAUGUAAAAUAAUAUAUUUAGAAAUAGAUGUAUAUAUAUAUAUAUAUAUAAUAUGUAAAAUAGCAGCAAUAUACGCACACAGCUUGACAUAAUUUUUAAAUUUUUUUUCUGUAUAAGUGCAUGUCUUAACGAUCACUUCUGUUAGUAAUGAUCACCUCUGUAACUUUGCUAACAGGUGCUAAAGAGAAAUUCAGUUAGAAAAGUCAAACUUUUUCAUCUAUUCAUAUAUAUUCAAUUUAUCUACAGUACCAAGUACCAUUUAUGUAUAAUCAAGUGACUAAUGAUAAUCUAAUGCAAACUCUAAACUCUUUCAUUCAUCUUUGACGAUAAUCUGAUGCAAACUUAAUAAAAAUUUUCAUUGUUAAACAUUGAUGUUUAUUUUCAUUGCAUUUUUUUUACAAUAAUGAAUAUGUUAAAGUUGUUGUGCAGUUUAAAAAAACUCUGUUACAACCAUGUCAAUUUUUUUCUUUAACAAACAUUAAUAUAAUGUCGAGAAUCACUAUGUUGAUCGUUAAAAAGAAAUAAAAUUGUCACCUUUUGCCUUAAUGCCAUUCUUAAGCCUGUUUGCUUCUAUGAAUUUUUGUUUAAGAUAAACUAAGACAAAAUACAAAGAAAGGAAAGAAAUGAGAAAAAAUGUUUUUGUCAAAUAUAUAAUUGGCUAAUACAGAAAUUAGUUUACUGACAGAGAUGGAACUAAAGAAAGGCAAACAACAACACAGUCCAACAAUAGGGGGAAACAGUGAGCUGUGCCGGGCAAUUGUGGGUGAGCGCUGAAUCAGCCUUGACUACAAGGGAGUUGCUGAGAAAUAGCAGGUGGUGAAAACCCGCACCAACAUUAUGAAGCUGCAGGCCCCAAGUGGUGCUCGCUGCAGAGCCAUUUGAGGAGAGCUGAGCUAACCGCGCUUAGAUCUGCUCGCUCAGACAGCUAGACCUGCACUUCCAGACGUUCACAGUGCCACCUGCUGUUUAAAAGAUCGACUAAACUGAAUUCCGCUGCUUCUAAAUUGUAAUUUAAACAGUUUUUUUCUACUAUAAAAUAUUACUCUAUGAUUGAAUACAUUAUUAUAUGAAAUAUUAAAUAUACUAGAUUUUGAUUUAAUGCAUUGAUUCUGUUGUAUUUUUUUUCAUUGCAUUUGUAAAUAGAUUUUGUUCAGUUACUUUAUAUUUUCAGACAAUUUUUUGUCCUUUUUUAUUCAUUAAGGAUUUAUCACUGUUUCGUAUUGAGUUGAGAGAAUUAAUAUUAUCUUC
rnacentral:lncRNA from 1 species